UACGUAGGGUGCAAGCGUUGUCCGGAAUUAUUGGGCGUAAAGAGCUCGUAGGCGGUCUGUCGCGUCUGCUGUGAAAAUCCAGGGCUCAACCCUGGACCUGCAGUGGGUACGGGCAGACUAGAGUGCGGUAGGGGAGAUCGGAAUUCCUGGUGUAGCGGUGAAAUGCGCAGAUAUCAGGAGGAACACCAGCGGCGAAGGCGGCGCUCUGGGCCGGUACUGACGCUGAGGAGCGAAAGCCAGGGGAGCAAACGGG
rnacentral:rRNA from 1 species